GACGAACGCUGGCGGCGUGCUUAACACAUGCAAGUCGAGCGGUAAGGCCCUUUCGGGGGUACACGAGCGGCGAACGGGUGAGUAACACGUGGGUGACCUGCCCUUAGCUCUGGGAUAAGCCUGGGAAACUGGGUCUAAUACCGGAUAUGACUCCAUGACGCAUGUUGUGGGGUGGAAAGCCUUGUGCGGCUAGGGAUGGGCCCGCGGCCUAUCAGCUUGUUGGUGGGGUGAUGGCCUACCAAGGCGACGACGGGUAGCCGGCCUGAGAGGGCGACCGGCCACACUGGGACUGAGACACGGCCCAGACUCCUACGGGAGGCAGCAGUGGGGAAUCUUGCGCAAUGGGCGAAAGCCUGACGCAGCGACGCCGCGUGGGGAUAACGGCCUCGU
rnacentral:rRNA from 1 species